rnacentral:tRNA from 4 species
AUUUAAAUAGCUUAAUUUUAAGAGCAUAGUAUUGAAGAUACUAGGGUAGUUUUGAACUUUUAAAUA